rnacentral:rRNA from 1 species
GGAAUUUUGGACAAUGGGCGCAAGCCUGAUCCAGCAAUGCCGCGUGAGUGAAGAAGGCCUUCGGGUUGUAAAGCUCUUUUGUCAGGGAAGAAACGGUGUUUUCUAAUACAGAACGCUAAUGACGGUACCUGAAGAAUAAGCACCGGCUAACUACGUGCCAGCAGCCGCGGUAAUACGUAGGGUGCAAGCGUUAAUCGGAAUUACUGGGCGUAAAGCGUGCGCAGGCGGUUUUGUAAGACUGUCGUGAAAUCCCCGGGCUCAACCUGGGAAUGGCGAUGGUGACUGCAAGGCUAGAGUUUGGCAGAGGGGGGUAGAAUUCCACGUGUAGCAGUGAAAUGCGUAGAUAUGUGGAGGAACACCGAUGGCGAAGGCAGCCCCCUGGGUCAAAACUGACGCUCAUGCACGAAAGCGUGGGGAGCAAACAGGAUUAGAUACCCUUG